AGACCCGAAACCCGGUGAUCUAGCCAUGGGCAGGUUGAAGGUUGGGUAACACUAACUGGAGGACCGAACCGACUAAUGUUGAAAAAUUAGCGGAUGACCUGUGGCUGGGGGUGAAAGGCCAAUCAAACCGGGAGAUAGCUGGUUCUCCCCGAAAGCUAUUUAGGUAGCGCCUCGUGAAUUCAUCUCCGGGGGUAGAGCACUGUUUCGGCUAGGGGGCCAUCCCGGCUUACCAACCCGAUGCAAACUGCGAAUACCGGAGAAUGUUAUCACGGGAGACACACGGCGGGUGCUAACGUCCGUCGUGAAGAGGGAAACAACCCAGACCGCCAGCUAAGGUCCCAAAGUCAUGGUUAAGUGGGAAACGAUGUGGGAAGGCCCAGACAGCCAGGAUGUUGGCUUAGAAGCAGCCAUCAUUUAAAGAAAGCGUAAUAGCUCACUGGUCGAGUCGGCCUGCGCGGAAGAUGUAACGGGGCUAAACCAUGCACCGAAGCUGCGGCAGCGACGCUUAUGCGUUGUUGGGUAGGGGAGCGUUCUGUAAGCCUGUGAAGGUGGCCUGUGAGGGUUGCUGGAGGUAUCAGAAGUGCGAAUGCUGACAUAAGUAACGAUAAAGCGGGUGAAAAGCCCGCUCGCCGGAAGACCAAGGGUUCCUGUCCAACGUUAAUCGGGGCAGGGUGAGUCGACCCCUAAGGCGAGGCCGAAAGGCGUAGUCGAUGGGAAACGGGUUAAUAUUCCCGUACUUGGUGUUACUGCGAAGGGGGGACGGAGAAGGCUAUGUUGGCCGGGCGACGGUUGUCCCGGUUUAAGCGUGUAGGUGUGUGUUCCAGGUAAAUCCGGUUCACUUUAACACUGAGGCGUGACGACGAGGCACUACGGUGCUGAAGCAACAAAUGCCCUGCUUCCAGGAAAAGCCUCUAAGCAUCAGGUAACAUCAAAUCGUACCCCAAACCGACACAGGUGGUCAGGUAGAGAAUACCAAGGCGCUUGAGAGAACUCGGGUGAAGGAACUAGGCAAAAUGGUGCCGUAACUUCGGGAGAAGGCACGCUGACACGUAGGUGAAGU
rnacentral:rRNA from 1 species